AUUGAACGCUGGCGGCAUGCCUUACACAUGCAAGUCGAACGGCAGCACGGGAGCAAUCCUGGUGGCGAGUGGCGAACGGGUGAGUAAUAUAUCGGAACGUGCCCAGUCGUGGGGGAUAACGUAGCGAAAGCUACGCUAAUACCGCAUACGAUCUAUGGAUGAAAGCGGGGGAUCGCAAGACCUCGCGCGAUUGGAGCGGCCGAUAUCAGAUUAGGUAGUUGGUGAGGUAAAGGCUCACCAAGCCGACGAUCUGUAGCUGGUCUGAGAGGACGACCAGCCACACUGGGACUGAGACACGGCCCAGACUCCUACGGGAGGCAGCAGUGGGGAAUUUUGGACAAUGGGCGCAAGCCUGAUCCAGCAACGCCGCGUGCAGGAUGAAGGCCUUCGGGUUGUAAACUGCUUUUGUACGGAACGAAACGGUGAGCUCUAAUACAGUUUGCUAAUGACGGUACCGUAAGAAUAAGCACCGGCUAACUACGUG
rnacentral:rRNA from 1 species